UGGUGAGUAACACGUAAGCAACCUGCCUAUCAGAGGGGAACAACAGUUAGAAAUGACUGCUAAUACCGCAUAUGCCUUAGAAUCACAUGGUUCAAAAGGGAAAGGAGCAAUCCGCUGAUAGAUGGGCUUGCGUCUGAUUAGAUAGUUGGUGAGGUAACGGCCCACCAAGUCGACGAUCAGUAGCCGGACUGAGAGGUUGAACGGCCACAUUGGGACUGAGAUACGGCCCAGACUCC
rnacentral:rRNA from 1 species